rnacentral:rRNA from 1 species
AGAGAGAGACAUGCGCGCAUAUCAAUAAGCGGAGGAAAAGAAACUAACAAGGAUUCCCUUAGUAACGGCGAGUGAAGCGGGAAGAGCUCAAAUUUGAAAUCUUCAAGGUUUUACCUUGACGAAUUGUAGUUUAAAGAAGUGUUUUCUGCUGAAGUUUUGGUAAAAGUUCUUUGGAAUAGGACAUCAUAGAGGGUGAGAAUCCCGUAUUUGACCAUUAUUUUCAGCUUUGUGAUACACUUUCAAAGAGUCGGAUUGUUUGGGAAUGCAGUCCAAAAUGGGUGGUAAAUUUCAUCUAAAGCUAAAUAUUGGCGAGAGACCGAUAGCGAACAAGUACCGUGAGGGAAAGAUGAAAAGAACUUUGAAAAGAGAGUUAAACAGUACGUGAAAUUGUCAAAAGGGAAGCGUUUGACACCAGUGUUGCUUUUCUCGAAAAUCAAUUAAAAAUGGCUCGAUUUUGUAUUGUUGAGACCUUAAAAGCUCACUGUACAUUUUUCGUGUCUUUUUUAAUGCACUUUUCGUUUAACAAGUCAACAUCAGUUUCUUUUGUUGUAAAAGGGUCAUUGGAAGGUGGCUUUCUUUUCGGAGAAAGUGUUUAUAGCCUUUGGCCUCUGCAAUCGGAGAGACUGAGGUCUGCAGCGUAGACUCUUCGGGGUUAGAUACAUUUGUGCUAAGUUAUAGCUUUUUAUAGACAACUUGUUGACUAUAAUUAGUCUUGUAGCUUACUCGCUUAUGCUAUUUUACCUACGCUUAGGAUGUUGAGUCGUAGAGCACGCAG